CACGAGUCAGGAUAAAUGCCAACGGACAGCGGAGAUUUUACUACUGAAAUCGCAUCCGCUGCAGCGGUCUACCGAGUCCCUCGUCCUCCCGGGGAUAAGGGCGCCGCUUCCAGGGAAAGAGGGCGAUUCAUCCGGAAAAUGGCUAGCGCCGCCGUCACAUUCUCUGUCCUCCGACCGUCUCCCGCCGUCCGUCGCCUGCGCUUAUCCGAUCCCCCCUCCCUCCAAAGGAGCAAGCUUUCUGCCCGCCUCCCUCGAUUCCGAUCGUUAUCCCCGGCACUGUUCCGCCGCACUCACCUCACCCGCUUCCUCUUCACUCCCAAGGCAUCAGUUGGGAGCGCGGAGCAUGCCGUGGAGCCUGCCACCGGCGUUAAGUUUCCCAAGGCGCUGCGAGUUCCAGGAAGCUCCAGCUCACUGGCUCUACUCGGCACAGGCUACAGGGAGAAGGUGUUCGCCAUAAUCGGCGUCAAGGUCUAUGCCGCCGGGUUCUAUGCUGAAUCAUCGAUCAGAGAUUCACUGAGCGACUGGAAAGGGCGAAGAACAGCUGCCGAACUUUCAGAGGAUUCCUCAUUCUUCAGUUCCAUGUUCGAAGCGCCGGUGGAGAAAUCGCUCGACAUCGUGCUGGUCAGAGACGUCGAUGGUAAAACCUUCUGGAAUGCUUUGGACGACGUCAUUUCUCCGAGAAUCAAGAACCCUAUGGGCGAUGAUGAAUCGGCGCUCUCGACUUUCGGGCGAGCGUUUCAGCAGCGCGAGCUGAAGAAGGAGACGCGCAUAUGCCUGACGUGGGUGCGGCCGUCCAGAAUGCUGAUUUCGAUCUCCUCUGCUGGGUCUCCGACGGCGAUCGAUGCUGAGAUUUUGUCGAGCAACGUUAACCGGGCGCUGUUCGACGGAUUCUUCGGAAAGAAUCCUGUUUCCUCCACGCUGAAGGCAUCGGUUACUGAUGGGCUGAGGAUGAUGAUCGGUUGAUCACGUUUAAUUUGUGCUGGACUCCGUCCUUCCCGCCCCUUCCCUGCCUCCCCGCGAAAUCUACGGCCGCGACGUUCAUCCGCGAAAAGACGAAAAUACCCUUCACUUCCCCUUACCGCUACACACUCUAACCCGUACGAUCCCAGAUACAGAGAUUUCGACCGUCCGAGCUGCCCUAGGGACCCACGUUAGUUGGAGGGGCGUGCGAUGGCGUUUUCGUCAAUGUCCUCUCGGCUUGCUUUUAUUAAUGGCGAACGCAGAAGCCAUGGCAUGGAACGAGUUUUAGUCGAUCGAACCAGUACCGGAGAUGGCGGCUAGCUGGAGGUCGAGGCUGUUUCCGACGAUCAAGAAGGUGUUUGUGUUCGGGACCAGCAAGAGGACUGCGGCCACAGAGGCCUGCAAGUCAUUUGAGGAAUCACAGGAGGAGAUCACCAAGGAGUUUGAGGAGAGGAAGAUCGAACUCGAAGCUAAAGCUGUAGAGAUCUAUCAGGCCUCAGACGCUGAGAUCAAGGAUUUGGUGAGAAAUCCGACAGAGGCCGGAAUCAAGAAAAAGUCGACUGCUGUCGUGAAGUUCAUUGAAGAACUAGUAAAGAUAGAGUUCCCUGGGUCUAAGCAAGUCAGUGAGGCUGCAAGCAAGUAUGGCGUGGCCCUUGUCCCCGCUCCGAUCGUGUUCAUCCUCGAGAAGGUGUCGGCCUUAGUCCCCCAAGACGACGAGGUGGACCCUGGAAGUGUCGCCGGUGCAAAGGAGGCCACUUCGAGCGAGCUGGAGAAUGACAAGGAAGGGGCAGCGGUCGUCGGAGAGAAGGCAGAGGAGGCGACAAUUGUGGCCUCAUCGCCUCCUAGUCCUGCCGGUAACGCACCGGCAACCACAAUCUCUGUCACCGCCGAACCGACUCCUGCAAAGGCAUGAAACCACAAACCCUAAGCGGAUCGCAUGUGUUUUUUGUAAUAUUGUACUUCCCCAUAUUGCUUGUGUUUUUGUUGCUCCGUCUUCCUAUUUUUCUUUAGGUUGUUUACUUGUUUUUUUUGUGUGAAGGAGAGCCUUAACGCAACAUAACAACAAAACAUAGUCUCUUGCAAUGCAGAUAAGAAUAUGUAUAAUGAAUUCAAUGUGAUUCAAUUCUUCCCCAAGAUCUCAUAUUGACGGGAGUUUUGUGCAUCGGAUUGUCUUGUCCUUGUUUUUCCCUCUAUUGUAUUAGAGACUUGAGG